AUGGCUGACUCGGCGUCCCUGGAGGACACGCUGCCCGAUGAGGAGAGGGAGUUUCGGAAGAUCAUAGGUUUGAUCGGAGGUAAAGAGAGGAUUCAUUUGGUGAGUGAUCAAUGUCAAAGUAAACAGGUGGACGGAGAUGACGCUGAGAUAUUGCAAGAGUUCCUCCGUGAAAUGUUCCCUGGCAGCCUGGCGAACAGCAACGGGCAGCCCCUCUCCUCUCCGUCAAACGGCGAUAAUGCAAGUGAAAAACACGUAUGUUUCAAGCCAGAGACUGAUAAAAUCAACGAGAUACAUCUUACAGAGAGGCCCAAAGAUUUGGACUUGAGAGCCUGUCCUGUGAGAGAGGACGGGGAGAAGGAGGAGCGGUCAACGCGCAAUGGCAACGCUCAGAAAACAGCAACGCGGAGGGCAAACAUUUACAGCCGAGAGCGAACCAUUGAUUCUGCUGUCAUCAUAUUCAUCUUCAGGCAGACAUUUCUCAGCAAAAAUACAAACGAACUGUGCUUAAAGGAGAUCUUGAAGGACGUAAAGGCGCGUACGAAACGUGCCAGAAUCGCCCGACCAGCUUUGAUUGGAUUAAUACGCACCAGACAGGAGAGCGCCGAGACGCAUCAGUGUGCGCAACUCCUGGAGCGUCUGAUCCGCUCAGUGUUCCACAAACAUUCACCAGAGACCGUGUGGGUCGGCUGUUUCAUCCCGGAGACACAAACCCAAAUAAUCAGCAUCAAGAAAAACGCCUGCAAAGUUAUAAACUCAUCUCAAACAGCAGAUAAUACCAGGGAUACAGGGAACUCGCUUUUCUGGCCAUUCCAAUGUUUGUUCUGGCCUCAGAGAAGAAGAGCCGGAGGCCAGGCCAAUGACUCUUCAACCAGCAGGAAAAGAGUCCUGUUCCAUGGUCCUCAAGGGACUAAUCCAGAAUGCACUACAUGAGCAAAAGCCAUGGAGGCAGGUUGUCAGUCUAUUACAGGGCCAACAGACAAAGACGUUCACACGUUCACUCUUAAUUAGACUCUCCUCGGAUCAAAUCUCACGCAGUCACACACAGGGGGAAACAAUCUGUAAUAGAAGAAGCAAGAACCAGUUUAGCCUCAAUGUACUGGAAUGCAAUGUGUAAAAA
rnacentral:lncRNA from 15 species